CUUUUCUGCUUCUUUUCCGUGCUUGCUUGGGUGAAGGGCGAUGAGGAGGCGGACGUUUCGCAGCGUCCUGCCGUGGGUGCAGCAGCAGCAGCGGUGGAAGAGCGCCCGGCCGAGCCGGAUGGCUGCGGAGGUGGCGCCCGAGCAGCAGCAGCAGCUGGCGCACGGUCUGUCGCAACAGGGGUCGAUCUACGG
rnacentral:ribozyme from 1 species